CACAUGCAGUCGAGCGGAGAGAGGUAGCUUGCUACUGAUCUUAGCGGCGGACGGGUGAGUAAUACUUAGGAAUCUGCCUAUUAGUGGGGGACAACAUCUCGAAAGGGAUGCUAAUACCGCAUACGUCCUACGGGAGAAAGCAGGGGAUCUUUAUGACCUUGCGCUAAUAGAUGAGCCUAAGUCGGAUUAGCUAGUUGGUGGGGUAAAGGCCUACCAAGGCGACGAUCUGUAGCGGGUCUGAGAGGAUGAUCCGCCACACUGGGACUGAGACACGGCCCAGACUCCUACGGGAGGCAGCAGUGGGGAAUAUUGGACAAUGGGGGGAACCCUGAUCCAGCCAUGCCGCGUGUGUGAAGAAGGCCUUAUGGUUGUAAAGCACUUUAAGCGAGGAGGAGGCUUACCUGGUUAAUACCCAGGAUAAGUGGACGUUACUCGCAGAAUAAGCACCGGCUAACUCUGUGCCAGCAGCCGCGGUAAUACAGAGGGUGCAAGCGUUAAUCGGAUUUACUGGGCGUAAAGCGCGCGUAGGCGGCCAAUUAAGUCAAAUGUGAAAUCCCCGAGCUUAACUUGGGAAUUGCAUUCGAUACUGUUUGGCUAGAGUGUGGGAGAGGAUGGUAGAAUUCCAGGUGUAGCGGUGAAAUGCGUAGAGAUCUGGAGGAAUACCGAUGGCGAAGGCAGCCAUCUGGCCUAACACUGACGCUGAGGUGCGAAAGCAUGGGGAGCAAACAGGAUUAGAUACCCUGGUAGUCCAUGCCGUAAACGAUGUCUACUAGCCGUUGGGGCCUUUGAGGCUUUAGUGGCGCAGCUAACGCGAUAAGUAGACCGCCUGGGGGAGUACGGUCGCAAGACUAAAACUCAAAUGAAUUGACGGGGGGCCCGCACAAGCGGUGGAGCAUGUGGUUUAAUUCGAUGCAACGCGAAGAAACC
rnacentral:rRNA from 1 species